GACAGAGGAUGCAAACGUUGCUCGGAAUUACUGGGCGUAAAGCGCAUGUAGGCGGUCCUGUAAGUCGGACGUGAAAGCCCGGGGCUCAACCCCGGAAGCGCGCUCGAUACUGCUCGACUUGGGUUCUGAAGAGGAGAGCGGAAUUCCCGGUGUAGAGGUGAAAUUCGUAGAUAUCGGGAGGAACACCAGUGGCGAAGGCGGCUCUCUGGGCAGAUACCGACGCUGAGAUGCGAAAGCGUGGGAAGCAAACAGG
rnacentral:rRNA from 1 species